GGUCUUCCAUUGAAGAGGCUGAAAAUUACAAACUUCUACAUUAUAAAUAGCAUAAAUUUUGACUAAUAUCACAAAAGCUAAGGUUAAGUUAAGUUAUUGGACUUGAUUAAUUAUCAGAAAUAAAAGCUUUUAUCAUUAAUAACUUUUUGAAGAAGAGUACAUACUUAGCUUGUCAGUUGUCAUCCAGAGUUGCCCACAAAUUCAAACAAAAACUAUUGCAGCUUCUAUCAAAUAGUGUCUCGCUUAGGAUAAGAAAAGUUGGAUUUGACAUAAAGCAUAUAGAAAUGGCGUAUGAGCCGGAAAAUAAAAGCAAGAACCAAUUUUGCAACUUGUGCUAGAGAGAGUAGAGAGACCUCCAUGUCCAUGAAAGUGUACUACUGUAUUAUUGCUUAGAAUAAAUAAUGAUUAAAGCAUGAAAUAACUAAUGGGUUUUAUUUAUUUUUAUUUAUUAUUAGAGGUUUUAAUUUAGAUAAUGACCUUAAUCUUUUUGUUGAAGUUCCUCUGUGUCCUCUUGCUUCUGUACUUUUCAAUCCUCUCUUUCUUCUCCUCUGGACUGUAUUUGCAUGCUUUGCUCAUACUCUCAAUUAUCACACUGCUCUCACUUGACAAUGGACUGUCUGCCUUGUGUCCAUGCUGCAAAUCACCAGUGCUAAAAACCCUUCUCACAUGGCUGGUGUCCAAGUCCAGAAAAUCCUGAGGGCAUGUUAAAUGACAAUGAUACCCAUUCUUUUGAAGGGAAUGGCUACUAAUACUCCUCUGAAUCAAACUCGGUUGCUGAGUCGUUCCACAACUCGCCAGCGAACUCGGCGAACCGUAGCUACUGCACCCACUAGUAGUACUGCUACCGGCCAUCUCGUAUGCAGCCAAUUGGUCCGGGAUGAUUAAGUGAGCUGGCGACGGGAACUGACCUGACACAGACAGGAAAGCCGAUGGAGCAGGACCGUCGGGAGACGAAGGAUGGUGCCCGAGGACAAAGUCGGCGCGUGGGAAUGUGGAGUUACCGUGACCGUACAUGGCGCGUGAAGAUAAUAAUGCGAAUAGCUAAGUUUUGGAGAGAGGAUUUUUGGAAGAAGGCGAAGACACUGAAGCUGAAUGGCUUGAGAGCUUUAAGUACUUAUAAACUGUGGAAGCUCCAAGAGAAAAGGAAAGACGAGCUGGAUGAUGACGUGGACGAUGACGUCAUCUUAGAGUGCGUUGACUUCUUUCUAGAUUUUAUAAUUUUU
rnacentral:misc_RNA from 1 species